GAUGAACGCUGGCGGCGUGCCUAAUACAUGCAAGUAGAACGCUGAAGGAAGGAGCUUGCUCUUUCCGGAUGAGUUGCGCACGGGUGAGUAACGCGUAGGUAACCUGCCUGGUAGCGGGGGAUAACUAUUGGAAACGAUAGCUAAUACCGCAUAACAGUAGAUGUUGCAUGAUAUCUACUUAAAAGGUGCAAUUGCACCACUACCAGAUGGACCUGCGUUGUAUUAGCUAGUUGGUGAGGUAACGGCUCACCAAGGCGACGAUACAUAGCCGACCUGAGAGGGUGAUCGGCCACACUGGGACUGAGACACGGCCCAGACUCCUACGGGAGGCAGCAGUAGGGAAUCUUCGGCAAUGGACGGAAGUCUGACCGAGCAACGCCGCGUGAGUGAAGAAGGUUUUCGGAUCGUAAAGCUCUGUUGUAAGAGAAGAACGAGUGUGAGAGUGGAAAGUUCACACUGUGACGGUAUCUUACCAGAAAGGGACGGCUAACUACGUG
rnacentral:rRNA from 1 species